GCUCAGGAUGAACGCUGGCGGCGUGCCUAAUACAUGCAAGUCGAGCGAACAGACAAGGAGCUUGCUCCUUUGACGUUAGCGGCGGACGGGUGAGUAACACGUGGGUAACCUACCUAUAAGACUGGGAUAACUUCGGGAAACCGGAGCUAAUACCGGAUAAUAUUUCGAACCGCAUGGUUCGAUAGUGAAAGAUGGUUUUGCUAUCACUUAUAGAUGGACCCGCGCCGUAUUAGCUAGUUGGUAAGGUAACGGCUUACCAAGGCGACGAUACGUAGCCGACCUGAGAGGGUGAUCGGCCACACUGGAACUGAGACACGGUCCAGACUCCUACGGGAGGCAGCAGUAGGGAAUCUUCCGCAAUGGGCGAAAGCCUGACGGAGCAACGCCGCGUGAGUGAUGAAGGUCUUCGGAUCGUAAAACUCUGUUAUUAGGGAAGAACAUACGUGUAAGUAACUAUGCACGUCUUGACGGUACCUAAUCAGAAAGCCACGGCUAACUACGUGCCAGCAGCCGCGGUAAUACGUAGGUGGCAAGCGUUAUCCGGAAUUAUUGGGCGUAAAGCGCGCGUAGGCGGUUUUUUAAGUCUGAUGUGAAAGCCCACGGCUCAACCGUGGAGGGUCAUUGGAAACUGGAAAACUUGAGUGCAGAAGAGGAAAGUGGAAUUCCAUGUGUAGCGGUGAAAUGCGCAGAGAUAUGGAGGAACACCAGUGGCGAAGGCGACUUUCUGGUCUGUAACUGACGCUGAUGUGCGAAAGCGUGGGGAUCAAACAGGAUUAGAUACCCUGGUAGUCCACGCCGUAAACGAUGAGUGCUAAGUGUUAGGGGGUUUCCGCCCCUUAGUGCUGCAGCUAACGCAUUAAGCACUCCGCCUGGGGAGUACGACCGCAAGGUUGAAACUCAAAGGAAUUGACGGGGACCCGCACAAGCGGUGGAGCAUGUGGUUUAAUUCGAAGCAACGCGAAGAACCUUACCAAAUCUUGACAUCCUUUGACAACUCUAGAGAUAGAGCCUUCCCCUUCGGGGGACAAAGUGACAGGUGGUGCAUGGUUGUCGUCAGCUCGUGUCGUGAGAUGUUGGGUUAAGUCCCGCAACGAGCGCAACCCUUAAGCUUAGUUGCCAUCAUUAAGUUGGGCACUCUAAGUUGACUGCCGGUGACAAACCGGAGGAAGGUGGGGAUGACGUCAAAUCAUCAUGCCCCUUAUGAUUUGGGCUACACACGUGCUACAAUGGACAAUACAAAGGGCAGCGAAACCGCGAGGUCAAGCAAAUCCCAUAAAGUUGUUCUCAGUUCGGAUUGUAGUCUGCAACUCGACUACAUGAAGCUGGAAUCGCUAGUAAUCGUAGAUCAGCAUGCUACGGUGAAUACGUUCCCGGGUCUUGUACACACCGCCCGUCACACCACGAGAGUUUGUAACACCCGAAGCCGGUGGAGUAACCAUUUGGAGCUAGCCGUCGAAGGUGGGACAAAUGAUUGGGGUG
rnacentral:rRNA from 1 species